CAGAGAUAUUUAUACUUGGACCACAUUACGUUAUCUCCUUUAUAGUAUUAUUUCUGCCAAUUUGUCCCAUCUGCUUUUGGCUUGCACAAAAGACAGUUGCAAGAAUUUCUUUUCUGUCUAUUGGUAGAGGGCCUUCUCCAUCACAUCCUUUGUACAGAGACUAUACAAAUGCACAUAUUGUCUUACAUAUUACGUCACAGAGUUAAAACAUACUUGGAGUCCAAUGUAGAAUUCCAUGGACCUCAGGCUAAAAGAGUAAACUAGUGCCUUGUAAACUAGACUGUUUAUGUAUUUCUCACACUCUUUGUUUCCCAGUUACUUUCUCUUAUCACUUCAUAAAUUCUUUUGAUGUCUCUUUUAUAUCAUUUGUACUAAAGUGAAACAAAAGGAGAUGUUUUUAUUUUUUCCAUACCUGGAUGAAAGUGUUAUAGUGGAGGCCUGGAGACUGGCAUGGUGUUAACUAUGAUAAUCCAAAUGAGAGAACCCCUAAAUGAGUAUGGUUUUCCUGCUUCAGUUACCUGGAGAUUGCGUUCCAUUGCUAAAACCAGGAUGUUCUGAAUUUUGGCUUUAGUGAAAGGAAUUAGUGUUGCCUUUAAUAACAAUUUUGUUUUCUCCAAAAUUUCUGUGUAAUUUCAUCGACCAUGAAAUAAAGCCAAAGUAAACUCCUUGGCCUGGCACUCUAGGUUUUCGACUCUUCCAACCUAUUCCUGUAGUUCCAUCACUUCUGCUUCUACACAUUGGCCUGUGCUGCCAUCAAACUACACAAACAUCUUUUCUCCUAAGUGCUGGGGAUUUUGUUUUCUAAUCUCUGUGUCACUUUUCAUUCAGUGAUUAUGCCAUUUGAUUUUCUCAGUGUGUUCUCUUACUACUUAAAAUUUGCUUUACUUUAUAUUUUCUAGGCCACUGCAUGUGGUGUUCUCUUUGCCUGGAAUUCUCCCCUUCCUCCAUACUUUGCCUGCUUGCCACCAUUUCCCUAUGUAUUGACCCUAUUUGGAAAAGACUUUUUUCUGUUCCUCUUUCAGGUUUCCCUAGCAUCCUAGACUAAGUUGUAUUAAUUCACACUUCAUUGUAACUCCCUGCUCAUUGUUUUAUUUCCUCAUCGUGUCCUUAAUGUCUCCACAGCACUUAAGGUAUGGAAUUACUUGAAUGCAAGUUGAUGACAUUGAAAUACAUGUAUAACUAGUUUUGAGAAGGUAAAUAGUAAUCAUUAUUGAAAGUCAUAAAAAUACUUACACUUUUGACCCAGUAAACCAGGAGUCAAAAGUCAGAUGCUUUCAGGGUCAGGCAAGUAAUCUCAGUUUGCAGUGUUGGCCCGGGGAAAAGCAAUGGAGAAUACAGGUUAUUUCACUUGCCUCACCUAAACACAUGCAGAUCUAGACUUCUAUAAAUACUAUCAACACAAGCCAAACAAACCAUAACACCUGUCUAUUCUAAAGAAACAAUUCUAUAGAGGAAAAUAAAAUUCAUGUUACUUGUGAAUCUAUCAGUAAUAAGGAAAAAAAAUAACACAAAUUAUAUAGGUAGUAGUAGGGGCCUGAUUAAAUUAAAUAUAAAUUAUAUCCACUAAAUGUCAUGUAUUCUUUAAUAUUAAAAUAAUACCCCAAACUGUAAUAAGUGGAAAAUUCUGUCACUAUUGGAAAUAAUAAAGGAAUAAAGCCAAACUGUUCACUCUAAUUGCAAGCAUGUGAAAAUGUGCAUCUUUGUUUAAAAAAAAAGAAUUAUGCAAAAUGAAGAUAGCUAUAUUAGGGUGCUCGAAAUAGAAAUGAUUUUUUAAGUUCAGUACUUAAUAAUGUCAUCAUUUUUCCAAUCCCAAUCUCUGGAGAAAUCUCUGGCAAUAUCUUUUGGAGUCUUAAAAGAUGACACCUAGUGAGCAAAACCAGGUUACUUUGGGUAAGAGCUGAAGAAUAUGAAUUGUGGGCUGAGCUAGAAAUAACAUUGUCAUAGCAACCUCGAAAGAUUUCAUAGAAAAGGCAUGGCUUGGAUUUGUUUUUUUUUUUAAGGAGAUGACUAACAAUAUCCCUUUUGAAAUAGUUCUGAUAUAGUGAAGGAUAAGAUACAGUAAGUUUGACAAAGUUUUGUUGAAAAAUUGGGAUAAAUGGGCAUCACAUGAAAAUCAGAAAUGAGACGCCCUAGUGUAGGCUUAGUGCAUUUUGUGUAUUGAUUAGCUUUUAAUGAUGUAACACUUAUGUGAUGCCAGUCUGUCUUCUCUGCAGAUAAUAAUUAUUUAAAUAAUACAGUAAUUCUAUAAUGAUAAUAAUGAUUGUAAUCAGGAAAAGAGCUCUAUUCUUCUUGUCAAGAGACAUUUAAUAUGUUUUUUUUUUUCUGAUUCUUAGAAAGGCUCAAUUAUCUGUUCUCAGUGUUCUAUGAUAUUAUAUAUAACCUCUUGGAAACAGGCCUGAUAUACUGAUAGCAUCUAUGGAAAUUAUUGGAACUUCUUCCUUGGAAAUGGCAUAUUCCAUCAGUCUCAUUGCCUCAUUUGUUAAAUUGAAUUGCCAUCCUAAGUGACGGAUCUUUCCAAUGUCCAAACUUCCUGCGAGGAUUUAGGUAUUAAUCCCAUUCUGCUGGAGUUUAGAUCAGGAAUGCCCUUAGAUUACUUUAUGAACCCAGGCUUCCUGUAAUUGGCAAAAGCUGGCCCAGCCCACUGGCUGCGCAGUACUUCUCUUUAUAUAUAAAAUACAGGUUUUCUGAAUAGCAAAUGAAAUCCAUGGCUUUGUCUAAUACAGCAAUGAAUGCCCUAAAACUGCCAAUUUUAGGAUCAUGCUAAAACCAUGAGUGGUGUCUUGACUUCAUUUGGAAAAUCUGCCUCUAAUGGCAGAGUCCUGUGGUAACAACUUUGGUAUCUUGCACAAAUAAAGCAGCCUAGAUAUAGGGCCAUAUGUUUAAGGAGAAAAGGAUUGUCAAUAAUUAUAUUUAAGGGGAAAUUUCUAAUUAAUUUUUUUUUCAGUUUGAGAUUACCUUAUGUAAAUCUAGAUUUAUCAUAAAGAACAAUAUAUCCAAAGUAUCAUAUUUCUCAAACAACAUACAUACUCUUCACUCUAGCUUUCUGUGUAACAUUAAAAACAUAAACAAAAAGGAGUUCCUUCUGUGGCUCAGUGGGUUAAGAACCCAACUAGUAUCCAUGAGGAUGCGGGUUUGAUCCCUGUCCUUACUCUGGAUCCGGCAUUGCUGCAAGCUGUGGCAUAAGUCACAGAUAGAGCUCAGAUUCUACGUUGCUGUGGCCCUGAUGCAGGCCAGCAGCUGCAGCUCCAAUUUGACCCCUAGUCUGAGAAUGUCCAUACGCUGCAGGUGCAC
rnacentral:lncRNA from 1 species